GAUGAACGCUAGCGGGAGGCCUAAUACAUGCAAGUCGAGCGGUAGAGUGACUUCGGUUGCUCGAGAGCGGCGCACGGGUGAGUAACGCGUACAUGACCUACCUUCAAGACCGGGAUAGCCCUGGGAAACCGGGAUUAAUACCGGAUGUGAUAAUAAGUAUAGAGAUUUAUUAUUAAAGUUACGGCGCUUGGAGAUGGGUGUGCGUCUGAUUAGCUAGUUGGUGAGGUAACGGCUCACCAAGGCGACGAUCAGUAGGGGGCGUGAGAGCGUGACCCCCCACACGGGUACUGAGACACGGACCCGACUCCUACGGGAGGCAGCAGUAAGGAAUAUUGGUCAAUGGGCGAAAGCCUGAACCAGCCAUCCCGCGUGCAGGAUGAAGGUCCUAUGGAUUGUAAACUGCUUUUAUCAGGGAAGAAACGCCUUCAUUCAUGAGGGUCUGACGGUACCUGAGGAAUAAGCACCGGCUAACUCCGUGCCAGCAGCCGCUGUAACAC
rnacentral:rRNA from 1 species